AUUGAACGCUGGCGGCAUGCCUUACACAUGCAAGUCGAAUGGUAACAGGGAGCUUGCUCUGCUGACGAGUGGCGAACGGGUGAGUAAAGUAUCGGAACGUACCUUUCAGUGGGGGAGUAACGCAGCGAAGUUAGCGCUAAUACCGCAUAUUCUGUGAGCAGGAAAGGACAGGGGAGUCGCAAGACCUUGCGCUGAUUGAGCGGCCGAUAUCAGAUUAGCUAGUUGGUGAGGUAAAGGCUCACCAAGGCGACGAUCUGUAGCGGGUCUGAGAGGAUGAUCCGCCACACUGGAACUGAGACACGGUCCAGACUCCUACGGGAGGCAG
rnacentral:rRNA from 1 species